AGUUUGUGGGGGGUCCCCCGUUCGUACCAUGAAUGGAGCCUUCAUAAGGGCUCGCAUAAUCCAUUCGUGUGGUUUUCUGCUUAACUUAUGCAGUGGCAAACAGUAUCAAUCGGUGAGUUAAAACAGCAACAUAGUGAUUUCCAGUCUUUUGUAACACUCUUCUUCACUGGAUCCACAAAAGUAUACUCUGGAACAAGUAAAACACCAGAGUACUAUCC